UACGGGGGGGGGCAAGCGUUGUUCGGAAUUACUGGGCGUAAAGGGCUCGUAGGCGGCCAACUAAGUCCGACGUGAAAUCCCCAGGCUUAACCUGGGAACUGCGUCGGAUACUGGAUGGCUUGAAUUCGGGAGAGGGAUGCAGAAUUCCAGGUGUGAGCGGUGAAAUGCGUAGAUAUCUGGAGGAAUACCGGUGGCGAAGGCGGCAUCCUGGACCGACAUUGACGCUGAGGCGCGAAAGCCAGGGGAGCAAAGCGGG
rnacentral:rRNA from 1 species